AGAGAGAGCGAGAGAGAGAGAGAGGCAGACAUCGCCGCUCAGCCCUCUCUCCACCAUCUCUAAAUCCUACUCCGACGACCCCUCCUUAACGACUCCUCCCUCCAACUCCACCACCUCGACGCCCUCUCCUCCAAACCAAACCCUAUCCGAGCUCUUUCAUCUCCUCCUGAGCCUCACCGUCUUCUACAACCAAAGCCAGAAUCAGCGACCCCUUCUCCUACUCUCUCCUCGCAUGCUUCACCAUCGAAGAUCAUACUCGUUCCUUUUAACUCCAAACCAUGUUUCCCAUUCUCAUAGCCUCCACAUCGUCUCUAGAGAACAAGGAAGGGUCACAAUGGUGGAUUGGAGCUCGGUAGUUGUAGCGGUGGUGUAGUCUGUAGCAGGUCACACUAAAAGUGUUGCAAGUUUGGGCUAUAAAUCUACAGACUCGCGAGUUUGGCAGAAGCAUGAAUCCUGGUGAGGACAUGCAAUGUUUCACAUUCUUGCACUACCACAAAAGUGGACAAGCGGAUACCAAUUCUUCGUCACCGUUGAGUUAAUGGAGAACUAUGGGAAGGACGAUCAAGAGUGUGUUGCAAAAGUGAGAGAGCUAUACGAUGCCCUUGAUCUUCAGGAGUUGAUCUUUAAGGAAUUAACAAAAACCCUCAAGCAGGAUGACAGGCUGCUAUAACUGGUGGCAUCUUCUUUGUCAUAAUUUGGUAAGAUUUUCCUCUUGUCUAUGCACUAAAUACAUAUGUUGGUUUGUACGAUUGACUGUUAGAAAGAAAUUGGACUUGGACAUUUUCUAUUUACUUUAGUAUUUAUCAGUUGGUUUUAAUCAAGUUAAAUAGCAGAAUUAUGUAACUAGUAAUCCUAAUGCAGUUGUCAUAAGCCUCAAGUCUUAUCUCUUUGUGAAACUAGGAGUCUCAUCGAUUGACAACCUCUUCAAUAUGAAGAGUUAGUGAUAAGCCUCAAGUCUCUAAACAGAUAAACUUUAAUCAGACUUUGGACUCUAUUGGUGAGCACAAAGUUAAGUUUAUGCCACUAUAUAA